rnacentral:snRNA from 1 species
AGCUUUGCGCAGUGGCAGUAUCAUAGCCCGUGAGGUGAAUCCGAGGCGCGAUUAUUGCUAGUUGAAAACUGUGAUAGUGGGCUCAGACUCGCUGCUGGGGUGAGUAGUUGAAAUUCCGUUGAGGA